rnacentral:rRNA from 1 species
UACGUAGGGGGCGAGCGUUGUUCGGAUUUACUGGGCGUAAAGAGCGCGUAGGCGGUUCGAUCAGUCGGAGGUGAAAGCCCUCGGCUCAACCGAGGAUCCGCGUCCGAUACUGUCGAACUUGAGUGCAGGAGAGGAGAGCGGAAUUCCCAAUGUAGCGGUGAAAUGCGUAGAUAUUGGGAGGAACACCGGUGGCGAAGGCGGCUCUCUGGACUGCCACUGACGCUGAGGCGCGAAAGCUAGGGGAGCAAACGGG